rnacentral:rRNA from 1 species
CAAUAGCGUAUAUUAAAGUUGUUGCAGUUAAAAAGCUCGUAGUUGGAUUUCUGGUGGGAGCGAUCGGUCUGGCGCUUAGCGCGAGUACUUGCAUCGUCUCCGGCCAUCCUUGGGGAGAGUCUGUCUGGCAUUAGGUUGUCGGGCAGAGGAUCCUUAUCGUUUACUGUGAAAAAAUUAGAGUGUUCAAAGCAGGCUUAUGCCGUUGAAUAUAUUAGCAUGGAAUAAUAAGAUAGGACUUUGGUACUAUUUUGUUGGUUUGCGCACCAAAGUAAUGAUUAAUAGGGACAGUAGGGGGUAUUCGUAUUCCGUUGUCAGAGGUGAAAUUCUUGGAUUUACGGAAGACGAACUACUGCGAAAGCAUUUACCAAGGAUGUUUUCAUUAA